GAUGAACGCUGGCGGCGUGCCUAAUACAUGCAAGUCGAGCGAACGGACGAGAAGCUUGCUUCUCUGAUGUUAGCGGCGGACGGGUGAGUAACACGUGGAUAACCUACCUAUAAGACUGGGAUAACUUCGGGAAACCGUAGCUAAUACCGGAUAAUAUUUUGAACCGCAUGGUUCAAAAGUGAAAGACGGUCUUGCUGUCACUUAUAGAUGGAUCCGCGCUGCAUUAGCUAGUUGGUAAGGUAACGGCUUACCAAGGCAACGAUGCAUAGCCGACCUGAGAGGGUGAUCGGCCACACUGGAACUGAGACACGGUCCAUACUCCUACGGGAGGCAGCAGUAGGGAAUCUUCCGCAAUGGGCGAAAGCCUGACGGAGCAACGGCGCGUGAGUGAUGAAGGUCUUCGGAUCGUAAAACUCUGUUAUUAGGGAAGAACAUAUGUGUAAGUAACUGUGCACAUCUUGACGGUACCUAAUCAGAAAGCCACGGCUAACUACGUG
rnacentral:rRNA from 1 species